GCCUCACUCCCUUGGGUUGCUGCAGAAGCGGUGGGAGAACGAGCGGCUGCUGCAGGCCAAGCAGAAGGCCUACGAAGAGGAGAAUCUGUACGAGGGCCUGAACCUGGACGAGUGCUCCAUGUACGAGGACAUCUCGCGAGGCCUGCAGGCCACCUACCAGGACGUGGCCAACAUCCGAGUGCUCGACAUGCAGCUGGAGAAGCCGUGAGGGGUCACUGUGGGGCUGGCAGGGGGACUGGCCAGUUUGCCCCCAGGCUGCCAUGCAAGGCCUCUGGCAAACGCUUGUGACCUUGGCUGUGAGCCAUAUGUCUGGGUACAGGGGUGAGGGGAGGGGGGCGGCUGCUCAUCACCAGGGGACAGCCUGUUGGGCCACGUGUCACUUGAACACGGUCCACGUCACAAUGGUGCCUGUUCCACACAGGGCAACAGGCGGGGAAAGCUGCCGGGGAAAUCUGGCAGCAGCGGGCACCCUGCCGGCAAGGGAAGAGGGUGGGCCCCUGGGUGGGCCCCUGCACCCUCAGCCAGGUACCGCUCACUCGGGGACAGACUGCCAAUGCGCUUGUCUUCCAGCCAGCCCGUCGCAGCUGGCACAGUCGCUAGUUUGGAUGAGCUAAGCUUCAUUAAAGCAGCAGCAUCUUGCGAGCUAA